AUCGAACGCUGGCGGCAGGCUUAACACAUGCAAGUCGAGCGGGGUGAUGGUGCUUGCACUAUCACUUAGCGGCGGACGGGUGAGUAAUGCUUAGGAAUCUGCCUAUUAGUGGGGGACAACAUCUCGAAAGGGAUGCUAAUACCGCAUACGUCCUACGGGAGAAAGCAGGGGAUCACUUGUGACCUUGCGCUAAUAGAUGAGCCUAAGUCGGAGUAGCUAGUUGGUGGGGUAAAGGCCUACCAAGGCGACGAUCUGUAGCGGGUCUGAGAGGAUGAUCCGUCACACUGGGACGGAGACACGGCGCAGACUCCUACGGGAGGCAGAAGUGGGGAAUAUUGGACAAUGGGGGGAACCCUGAUCCAGCCAUGCCGCGUGUGUGAAGAAGGCCUUAUGGUUGUAAAGCACUUUAAGCGAGGAGGAGGCUCUUUUGGUUAAUACCCAAGAUGAGUGGACGUUACUCGCAGAAUAAGCACCGGCUAACUCUGUGCCAGCCGCCGCCGUAA
rnacentral:rRNA from 1 species